GACGAACCACACAAACGUUAUUCGGAAUUACUGGGCUUAAAGGGUGCGUAGGCGGUCCUAUAAGUCAGUGCUGAAAUAUCCCGGCUUAACCGGGAGGGUGGCAUUGAUACUGCAGGACUUGAGUAAAGUUGAGGUAGGCGGAAUUGACGGUGUAGCGGUGAAAUGCUUAGAUAUCGUCAAGAACACCGAUAGUGAAGACAGCUUACUAAACUUUAACUGACGCUGAGGCACGAAAGUGUGGGGAUCAAACAGG
rnacentral:rRNA from 1 species